rnacentral:rRNA from 1 species
UAGGGAAUCUUCGGCAAUGGGGGCAACCCUGACCGAGCAACGCCGCGUGAGUGAAGAAGGUUUUCGGAUCGUAAAGCUCUGUUGUAAGUCAAGAACGAGUGUGAGAGUGGAAAGUUCACACUGUGACGGUGGCUUACCAGAAAGGGACGGCUAACUACGUGCCAGCAGCCGCGGUAAUACGUAGGUCCCGAGCGUUGUCCGGAUUUAUUGGGCGUAAAGCGAGCGCAGGCGGUUUGAUAAGUCUGAAGUUAAAGGCUGUGGCUCAACCAUAGUUCGCUUUGGAAACUGUCAAACUUGAGUGCAGAAGGGGAGAGUGGAAUUCCAUGUGUAGCGGUGAAAUGCGUAGAUAUAUGGAGGAACACCGGUGGCGAAAGCGGCUCUCUGGUCUGUAACUGACGCUGAGGCUCGAAAGCGUGGGGAGCGAACAGGAUUAGAUACCCUGGUAGUCCACGCCGUAAACGAUGAGUGCUAGGUGUUGGAUCCUUUCCGGGAUUCAGUGCCGCAGCUAACGCAUUAAGCACUCCGCCUGGGGAGUACGACCGCAAGGUUG